rnacentral:rRNA from 1 species
AGGACGAACGCUGGCGGCGUGCCUAACACAUGCAAGUUGAGCGACGAACCAGGGCUUGCCCUGGGGCAAAGCAGCGAACGGGUGAGUAACACGUGGGUAACCUGCCCCGAUAACCGGGACAACCCGAGGAAACUCGGGCUAAUACCGGAUGUGCUCGUCAGACCCAAGUCUGACGCGUAAAGGAAGCUUCGGCCUCCGUAUCGGGAGGGCCCGCGGCCCAUUAGCUAGUUGGUGAGGUAACGGCUCACCAAGGCAUCGAUGGGUAGCUGGUCUGAGAGGACGAUCAGCCACACGUGGACUGAGACACGGCCCAGACUCCUACGGGAGGCAGCAGGUGGGGAAUCUGCGCAAUGGACGACGAAAGCGUAGGACGCACGGACAACGGCCGCGGUAGGGGGAAAGAACGGGUCCUUCGGGGUUACGUUAAACCCCGUUAGA